GUUGUCCAAUCUUACUAAUAUACCCUUCCUUCAAAUAUUUUUUACACUAACAAAAGGCUAUCUAAGUAAUUAACAAAAUAAAUAUUGCUCAAUGCCAUUUGUGUGCUUCUCAUUGGACAAACUCAAAAAAUUUUGUACUUCCAUUCAAUCUUCACAGUUCAAAUUCUAUAUCCCUUUCUCUCUUCUCUCUCCCGUUUUCGAUCUUCUAUUCUUCUCAAACCCUACAACAUCGUCGUCCCUUUUCUCCUUCCAUCUUUGUUUCUCAUUCCUCUGCCACUCUCAAAAAGGGUUUCUAAAAAGAAAAUGAUGAAGGUACACCACUUAGAGAUCAAAGACAUAGAACAAGAGCAUGAGUUGGAAGAUCAAAGUGAUGGAGCAGAGGGAAGAAUCGAAGAAAAUUUCUUUUCUCUGUCUCUAGCAUUUUCCAGUCUUCCCUUUUUAUGUUCUUUUGAUUUGAAUGAAUUUUCUCUAACUUUAUUUUGAUUGUGUUCUGUCAAUAGGUUUUGAAUCUUAUAUUGGAGUAAAUUUCUUGACUCAAAUUUCACCAAUACUGUAUUAUAUACCCAGUAGAUAUUUUUUUUCAUAAUCCAGUUUCUUCCCUUUUGAUCUAUAAUCUGACAGUGCAAAUGUUACAAUUACUGGUGAGCCUUCAAGUGUUACAUGAACCAUGAUUUUCUGUUGGUUGUGUUAUAUAAUUGCUAGACAUUAAGUUGGUGAUCUCUAUUUUGGGUUUUUUGUUUUAGGUUAACUUUUAUGCUAUGAGGUUUAUUAUAGGUUAACUUUGAUGCAAAAUCCAGAAUUACUAAGUUCUACAAAAGGUUUUCAACAAACUGAUAAGAUCCAGAAGUUUGAAAAAGCACUUAAUCAAAUUAAAGACGAUUCCAAAUCAAAUCAUGAUGCAGCCCCUCAGUAUUAUAGAUGUUGCAACUUCCUUAGUACAUGGAAGAAGUGCAGCAGCUGCUAAAGCCUCAUCAAGUGAUAAAAUUGCUGCCAUAUUAGCUAUACAUGUGGUUGGUGACAGGGCUUCAGUGAAUGCAAAGCUGAUCAAUGGAUGUUUUCGGAAACACCAUUUUUCUCCCUCAAUGGAUGGUCAACUAGAUUGCAAAGCUGAUUGCAAAAAUUCCAAUUUGAAAUAACUAGGAUGUUUGCGGCGAUUGCAUACCCGUUGGAUCUUAUGGCUAUAAUUAAUGGCUUCUACUAUGCAUAUAAUAAGAAGUGAGAUUGUGCAUGGAUCAGUACUACACCUUCAUGACUUACCUAUUGUUAUUUUCUUGUAUCUCAGGAUUCUAAUCAUGCGCAGGAACUCGAAUAUAUGAAAGUUGUGACAAAGCAAGUAACAAUAUGCUAAAUGGAAUCAAGUUAGAGUUUGUUGGAGAUUGAAGGGCUGAGAUCAAAUCGAAAGUGAGGGAGUUUAUGGUGUGAUGGUGCAUGGUUUUCUUGCUGGGUGCAUCAGAUUUGCAGUUUGGUGCACUUCGGUUUAUGCUGCGAUUCUGGUGUGGAGUUAUGUUGAGUUGUUUUUUUUUGUAUUUACGGUGCAGGUUUGCCUUUGGUUAAAUGAU